GAGGUCCCGGGAGCGCCGAGCCCCAGAGCCCUUUCCUUCCUUCCUCGGCCCUUCCCUGCGCCUUCCCUCCUCUCUGCCUUCUUUCCUUCCUCUCUCCCUUUCUUCCUGAACUUACUGAGCGCCUACUCUGGGCCAGCCACGGUUCCAGGCACCGGGGGGGGGGGGGGGGGGGAGCCACAGGGGUGAACAACAGCCAGGCGCCAGGCCCUGGAGCCCGUGGUCCGCCGAGGGAGACAGACCUCACCCGUGCCAACACCUUGACAGACCAAGUCACAGAGAGCCACAACGAGGACAGAGCGGAAGUGAACAGUCGUCUGGUUGACUCUGCCUCGAUAAGCCUGCAACGCUUUCAAAAGAGCGGGACUGAUUCACCCCUUCCCCGAAUCCAAAGCUCAGAGACGUGGGAAUCCCCAAGGUCACGCAGCUCGCGCACACUGCUGGACACGGGGACACAGUGAUGGCGGAGACAGACAAGUACCCCUGCGCUGGUGAGGAGCCCCUGUCCUAAUGCGGAAAGUUCUUUUCAGACAUUAUUUGAGAGCCACCGUGCUGACCCAGCGGUUCAAGGCCUGGGCUCCACGUGGGAAUCACCUGGGGGAACUUCAGACAAAUGCCAAUGAUCUCUUGACGUGAGUGGGUAGAGGAUUCAUGAAGAAACAGACGCCAGAUGCCUGGCACAUGGCUGGACCCACUAGACGGUGCUUUUCCUGAGAGGUGAGUGGGGGCCCCACUGAGCCCCGGUCCAAACCCUUCAGCUUCAAGAUCCAGACUGAUUCCUCCCGCCAUUGCAAUGCGUCCCCUUCAAAAAGGAGCAGAAAGACUUCUUCUCUCCAAGUUUCAAUCAGACCACUUACUCAUUAAA